UGCAUCAGGAAGCAGCCCACGGGAUAGCAACAUUCCUCAUUUUUCCAGAAGAGCAGUUGUAGAUGAACACCAGCUGGAUACCAGGAGUCCCUGAGGUGGAAUUUAAAAUUAAUUUCCUACACAGAUACUUUUCCUCAUGGAAACAAGUUCUUUUCAUAAGUCUUUCAGGUCCACUUUAAAAUCUUGUUUUUCUAUUCAUAAAACUAAUAACUGUUUAAAAUAAUAGUGAUUUAUUUUUCUGACUAAUUAAUUUAUAUAGCUAUUUAAGAAAUUAAGUUCCCCUAAACAAGUAACCUUGACUAUGAAAGUUUUUAAAUAAAUUUUCUUAAAAUAUUAAAACCAUAUGGACAAGUAAUUUGACCCUGUAAUGGUAGACCCAGAUAGUUCAUUACUGAUAUCUUGGUAUGGCAUCCAUGGUUUUUCUGUCAUUUGGGGGUUUUAGAGAUGUCAUUGCAUAAUAUAAGACUCAGUUCUGACCAUUUCUAAGGCACCACGCUGCCCUCCUA
rnacentral:lncRNA from 1 species